GUGAACUCACCAAGGCCCUGCUUCUUCAUGGACUAGGACUUAAGUCUCGGUAGCAGCCAUUGGCCGAGGGGCUCUACUUGCCCAACUCUGCUAUCUGACAUGCCCAUUUGAGUCAUGUAAAGCUUUGGUUAAACUCCUAAUAUAAUACAGGCAAAAUAUAGAGGGACAAGGAGCUCGUGCCACUAAUAGCCUGUUGAUACUGGGCAGGGAUGUCUGCUACACAACUCAUCAUUGAAAAGUUGGUCCCGUGAUCAAUUGAGUUGUUUGUUAGGAGAAUGGUGCCAUGGUUGGAAUGUUUAAAGAUGCUGGAAUUAAGGAUGUGGUAUUACUAAAUCAGUCCACUGAUGGGUUUGGCACCUGCCCUAAGCUUGGUAGCUUAGAUACAAUAUAGAAGAGUGUUAUAGUCAGGAUUUGCAAGAGAAUAGAUUUAAUAUAGGACAUAUAAUUUACAGAAUUAUUUUAUAAUAUUCACCCCAAAAGCCCAAUGCAGAGGAGUGCUAGAAAUCUGUCCACACACUAGAGAUCCAAAGAAUCCAGCCAAGGCCCUGGAUCCCACAGCAAUGUCCAGCACAAGGCCACCCAGAGGCCUAGAGCCCACAGCAAUAUCUCUUGCUUGUCUAUAUCAAGGAUCUGCACCAGGAAGCCCCAAAGGCCAGUGGUGGAAGCUAGAAAGCCUGCAGUGGAGGAAUAAAGGAUCCAUGCCACCAGGCUGAGGAAUCUUCACUGGAACCAGGAAGCAAUACUCAAGGUGAAGAUCAGAGCUCCCCUGAUAAGAAUAGUAGCUGUUCUCAUCCAACAACAAGGACCCAAGCUCCAACAAUGACAAGAUCAGCCAAGUUUGCAUUAGGAAAACCAGCUGCAGGAAGCCUCCCCAGUGAAUUUCCAGGGCAGAGCACAGAGAAACAAAAAAAUGGAUCAUAAAGGCAGUCAAGAUACAAGAUAUAAGAAGGCUGGACUGAGAAGAUCUAUCACAUGCCUAAUCAGAGUCCCAGAGAGAGGUAAAACAGAAUGUGGCAAAAGCAGUAUUUGAAUAUUCAAAAAGAUCAUGGCUGAUUAAAAAAUUUAGGGAUCCCAAAUUCCAAUUUGUCCAUAUCUCAGGCUGGACAGAUAAGGAGAAAUCCCAUCAGAGGAAAAUUGCAGGACACCAAAAACCAAGAAGGAAGAUCGCCUUCAAAGAGAAACAAACAGAGGCGACAUCUCGGCUGCUACAGAAAUCUUCAAGGUUGGAAUGGUCUCUGUGUGCAUCAGAGAAAUUAUCAGCUUAGAGCUGUACACCCUGUGGCAAGUAUCUUUCAGGAAAAGACUACAAAAAAUAUCUUUCAGGAUAAGAGCUAAAGAGUCAGGCAAACAAAAGCUGAGAAUUUGACAUCAAAAGUUGUUUAUCAGAUAAAGAUCUAAAGGAUUAUUUUAGGCAGAUGGAAAUGGAUUCCAGGUGGAAAUGGUACUUUUAAGAAGAAAAAAGAGAGAGAGAGAGAAAUGGGAAAAAUACCGGUAAAUAUGUUGGUUCAUUUCAACAAACAUUGAUUGUAUAAGGCAAAAGUAAUUUAAAUGAGAGAUCUAUUUAUAGCAUGAUGACUAUACUUAGUAACAGUGUAUUGUAUUCUUGCAAGUAACUAAGAAAGUAAAUUUUAAGUGUGCUUGACAUGAAAAAUGUUAGGUCUGUCUGUGCGGUAUCGCACAUGUCCAUUAGCUUGGUUUAGCCAUUCCACAAUGUAGACAUGUUUCAAAACAUCAUGUUGUACCCCAAAAUAUAUGCAAAUUGUGUGAAUUUUUUUAAAGUUAAACAAUAAUAAGUUUUUAAAACAACUAAAAUCCAAG
ensembl:lncRNA